rnacentral:rRNA from 1 species
AUGACGCUGGCGGCAGGCCUAACACAUGCAAGUCGAGCGAGAAAGCCCUUCGGGGUGAGUAGAGCGGCGGACGGGUGAGUAACGCGUGGGAAUCUGUCUAGUAGUGGGGGAUAACACGGGGAAACUCGUGCUAAUACCGCAUACGCCCUACGGGGGAAAGCAGGGGAUCUUCGGACCUUGCGCUAUUGGGUGAGCCCGCGUCGGAUUAGCUAGUUGGUGGGGUAAAGGCCUACCAAGGCGACGAUCCGUAGCUGGUCUGAGAGGAUGAUCAGCCACACUGGGACUGAGACACGGCCCAGACUCCUACGGGAGGCAGCAGUGGGGAAUAUUGCGCAAUGGAGGAAACUCUGACGCAGCCAUGCCGCGUGUGUGAAGAAGGCUCUAGGGUUGUAAAGCACUUUCAAUAGGGAGGAAAAGUUAGUCGCUAAUAUCGGCUAACCGUGACGUUACCUAUAGAAGAAGCACCGGCUAACUCCGUGCCAGCAGCCGCGGUAAU